rnacentral:rRNA from 1 species
CCUACGGGAGGCAGCAGUGAGGAAUAUUGGUCACUGGUCGGGAGACUGAACCAGCCAAGCCGCGUGAGGGAUGAAGGUACAGAGUAUCGUAAACCUCUUUUGUCAGGGAACAAAGGCGGGGACGUGUCCCCGGAUGAGUGUACCUGAAGAAAAAGCAUCGGCUAACUCCGUGCCAGCAGCCGCGGUAAUACGGGGGAUGCGAGCGUUAUCCGGAUUUAUUGGGUUUAACGGGGGCGCAGGCGGUCUGUUAAGUCAGCGGUCAAAGCCCGGGGACCAACCCCGGCCCGCCGUUGAAACGGGCAGUCGCGAGUUGGAGAGAGGUAUGCGGAAUGCGCGGGGUAGCGGUGAAAUGCAUAGAGAGCGCGCAGAACUCCGAUUGCGAAGGCAGCAUGCCGGCUCCACACUGACGCUGAGGCACGAAAGCGUGGGUAUCGAACAGGAUUAGAUACCCCUGUAGUC